rnacentral:rRNA from 1 species
UACGGGGGGGGCAAGCGUUGUUCGGAAUUAUUGGGCGUAAAGAGCUCGUAGGCGGUUUGUUGCGUCGGCUGUGAAAUCCCGAGGCUCAACCUCGGGUCUGCAGUCGAUACGAGCAAACUAGAGUGUUGCAGGGGAGACUGGAAUUCCUGGUGUAGCGGUGAAAUGCGCAGAUAUCAGGAGGAACACCGGUGGCGAAGGCGGGUCUCUGGGCAACAACUGACGCUGAGGAGCGAAAGCGUGGGGAGCGAACAGG